AGCGAACGCUGGCGGCAGGCCUAACACAUGCAAGUCGAACGAACCUUUCGGGGUUAGUGGCGGACGGGUGAGUAACACGUGGGAACGUGCCUUUAGGUUGGAAUAACUCAGGGAAACUUGUGCUAAUACCGAAUGUGCCCUUCGGGGGAAAGAUUUAUCGCCUUUAGAGCGGCCCGCGUCUGAUUAGCUAGUUGGUUGAGGUAAUGGCUCACCAAGGCGACGAUCAGUAGCUGGUCUGAGAGGAUGAUCAGCCACAUUGGGACUGAGACACGGCCCAAACUCCUACGGGAAGCAGCAGUGGGGAAUCUUGCGCAAUGGGCGAAAGCCUGACGCAGCCAUGCCGCGUGAAUGAUGAAGGUCUUAGGAUUGUAAAAUUCUUUCACCGGGGACGAUAAUGACGGUACCCGGAGAAGAAGCCCCGGCUAACUUCGUG
rnacentral:rRNA from 1 species